ensembl:processed_transcript 2010204K13Rik RIKEN cDNA 2010204K13 gene
GAGCAAUGAAUUCACCCAGGAUCCAUGGAAGGCUUGAGCAAAUGCUUACUUAGCAAAGUGCUAGGCACAGAGCUAAGCAAGGCAAACCAUCGAAAAGGAGAGCCGAGGGAGCUUCCCUAAGGCACGACUGACAAGUAUCCUGGAGAAACCUGAUCUUACACAGAGCACGUGGUGGCUGCUAGAGGACCAGCAGGGUCAGGAAGACAGUCACGGGGAAGAUAACAGGAAAUGAGUAAGAACCUGUGAAAGCCCUUUGACCUGAGGAGUUGCAGGAGGCUGAGAAUACCUGCUGGGAUGCUAAAGUUUAAAAAGGGUUGCUUAUGUGACUGUAACUGUGGAGUUAUGCACUGGACCUGGCUGGCUUCCCUAGUGGGUACAUAUCUGAAGAUAAUGAUAUCCGGUCUUCCAGAGUCUACCAAUAGCCAAUAGUUCCCCAGGGUCCUGUAAGUACUGACAAGGGGUGUGAUUUUGCCAGCUGAAGGCAGUUUACAUUCGGAGUUCCGCGGACUCUUCAGAGGCUGUAAAAAUGCCGGAGUCACGAAAGCCUGCAAAGAGCUGUUGCUUGCCUUGCUGCUGCUGCUGCUACUGCCGUCCCUGCCCGUGCUGCAGCUGCUACUCCUGCUGCUGCUGCUGCUGCUUGUUGCUGAUUGUUGCGGUUGCUGGUUGCUGUUUACUGUUUGCUGCCGGCUGGAUUGCUGGAUUGCUGAUUGCCAGUCGGCGAAAUCCUGGCGAUGAAGAUCCAACUUGCCCCAAGAAACAAGACGACCCUAAGAAGUAGUCUAAUGAUUUCAAUACGCCCUUUCCCCCUCUGACCUUUCUCUCUUACCUUAUGCUGGGGGAUUGGAAGGGUGGCAGAAAAAAGAACCCAAUAAAGUAGCCAAAAGU